rnacentral:rRNA from 1 species
GACGAACGCUGGCGGCGUGCUUAACACAUGCCAGUCGAACGCUGAAGCUCAGCUUUUGUUGGGUGGAUGAGUGGCGAACGGGUGAGUAACACGUGAGUAACCUGCCUCCUUCUUUGGGAUAACGCCCGGAAACGGGUGCUAAUACUGGAUAUUCACUGGUCUUCGCAUGGGGGUUGGUGGAAAGGGUUUUUCUGGUGGGGGAUGGGCUCGCGGCCUAUCAGCUUGUUGGUGGGGUGAUGGCCUACCAAGGCUUUGACGGGUAGCCGGCCUGAGAGGGUGACCGGUCACAUUGGGACUGAGAUACGGCCCAGACUACUACGGGAGGCAGCAGUGGGGAAUAUUGCACAAUGGGCGCAAGCCUGAUGCAGCGACGCCGCGUGAGGGAUGGAGGCCUUCGGGUUGUGAACCUCUUUCGCUCAUGGUCAAGCCGCAACAAUGGUUGUGGUGAGGGUAGUGGGUAAAGAAGCGCCGGCUAACUACGUG